UUGACCUCGAAUCAGGUAGGAAUACCCGCUGAACUUAAGCAUAUCAAUAAGCGGAGGAAAAGAAACCAACAGGGAUUGCCCUAGUAACGGCGAGUGAAGCGGCAACAGCUCAAAUUUGAAAUCUGGCUCUUUAGGGCCCGAGUUGUAAUUUGUAGAGGAUGCUUUUGGCGCGGUGCCUUCCGAGUUCCCUGGAACGGGACGCCUUAGAGGGUGAGAGCCCCGUACGGUUGGACACCAAGCCUCUGUAAAGCUCCUUCGACGAGUCGAGUAGUUUGGGAAUGCUGCUCUAAAUGGGAGGUAAAUUUCUUCUAAAGCUAAAUAUUGGCCAGAGACCGAUAGCGCACAAGUAGAGUGAUCGAAAGAUGAAAAGCACUUUGAAAAGAGGGUUAAAUAGCACGUGAAAUUGUUGAAAGGGAAGCGUUUGCGACCAGACCUUUUCCUAGCGGAUCAUCCGGUGUUCUUCGCCGGUGCACUUCGCUAGGUCGAGGCCAGCAUCGGUUUCUGCAGGGGGAUAAAAGCCCAGGGAACGUAGCUCUUUCGGGAGUGUUAUAGCCCUCCGCAUAAUACCCUUGCGGGGACCGAGGACCGCGCUUUUUGCAAGGAUGCUGGCGUAAUGGUCGUCAACGACCCGUCUUGAAACACGGACCAAGGAGUCGAACAUUUAUGCGAGUGUUUGGGUGUUAAACCCUCACGCGUAAUGAAAGUGAACGGAGGUGAGAGCCCUUACGGGUGCAUCAUCGACCGAUCCUGAUGUCUUCGGAUGGAUUUGAGUAAGAGCAUAACUGUUCGGACCCGAAAGAUGGUGAACUAUGCGUGGAUAGGGUGAAGCCAGAGGAAACUCUGGUGGAGGCUCGCAGCGGUUCUGACGUGCAAAUCGAUCGUCAAAUCUGCGCAUGGG
rnacentral:rRNA from 1 species